CUCAGCAAUAUCUUCAUGGUCAAAAGACUAUCAACCCAUCAUCAUCGUAUGCCUACCCAAUAUAUUCGAGGUGUAUCGUCGCUUCAAGAUGGAUGGUACUCAUCUUCUGCGAGAUCUCCUUCACACCUAGGAUGGGUUCACUCAUUUGGAUUGGAGGGACACAUACCUGUCCAUGCUGAUCACACCAGGGAGUCAUCCAUUCCUUUGGUUUCACUGACUGGACCGACAAUGCCAAUUCACGUGUCUACCAUUAUGGGUUCAAC